UUUUCUCCAUUCUACCCAAUUUCGCAGGCUACGCACGCCAAAAAGAAAUUUCACCGAAAUAAGCCACCAAAAUAUUUCACAGUUGAACGAGUGCUUGUGUUUGACUGGGUAACGACACCUGUCAACGCAAUCGCCCCGUGUUGUUAUAAACAAUACACACUAUACAUAACUUUUUGGCAAAUCGACCAUUUGAAGCGACAUAGCCACAUGGCUGGCGUAUGUUGACCCCCACCAACCGACCACGUUAGUGGCAUUCAAAUGAGCACUGGAGCACUGGACUUGACUUGGGGCGAGGUCUAUGGCAUGUAAAUUACAUUAGGAGCAUUGCUGGUGGAUGUACAUAUCUUGGAGUCACGAUGUGCCCGGCAUACUUAAGUGGCACUUAACGCCGUUGGCGAGGAGAAAUUGCCUAACAGAAGAAGAAAUACUCGAAUGCUGCUUACACCGAAAACCGGAGAAACUUUCACCCCAAAACUUUUCACCCAUGCCCCGUGGGUCAGUGCACGAUUCUCACGUUCAUUAAGCCGGCAUCGAAGUGCCCAAUCCCCAAAACUCUAUUAUCAAAACACUCUCAAUUUUGGAGGCACUCCUGGGCAGGUGAUCGCUGCUCAGGAAUUUGGGUCAUUGGUUCAGGUUAACACCCAAAAAAAAAACCAAAGAAAAACAAAAAGAAGCUGGUGAAAAAUGCCUGUAGGAAUGCCUGCUUUGCCGGAAGCUUUCGGCGACUUUCUUUUCGCUCGAAAGGAGAAGGCGGAACGCAGAGUUUGAUAUAAUGAGUCACCCGGGGAUCGAUCGGUAUCGAUAUUGAUGGCCCUGCCCAGUCGGGCUGAAAAGCAAUUCGAAAACCUGGCCCGCAAAGCCAAAGCCAACUUGUUUAGCUUCUUUUGCUUAUUUUGCUUUUUUUGGUUCCAACUGCCGACCGCUUUGGCAUUGACAGUUAGCUGUCGGCGAACGGAAAUGCAAUGUGCUGCUGUAACGGCAAUUGCUGGAUCAAGAACUAUAUAUAGAGAUGGAUAUAUACAUAUGUACCGCACUGUAACGCACUCAAUCUCCAUCUGUAUUAAUCCAUUCUAGCAGAUUCGAUUGAUGACAAAGAGCGGAACAAGUUGUUUGCGGCGGGCGACUUCCUCACAAAUCAGGCAUAAUCUCAUUUGGCUGGGGGAAAUUAUCAUAUGGUUAUGGUUGCGACUCCACUCACCUUCGACACAGUUCGGCGC